GCCGCCCGCUUUCUUCUUGCUUAACACAUGCAAGUCGAACGGAAAGGCCCUGCUUUUGUGGGGUGCUCGAGUGGCGAACGGGUGAGUAACACGUGAGUAACCUGCCCUUGACUUUGGGAUAACUUCAGGAAACUGGGGCUAAUACCGGAUAGGAGCUCCUGCUGCAUGGUGGGGGUUGGAAAGUUUCGGCGGUUGGGGAUGGACUCGCGGCUUAUCAGCUUGUUGGUGGGGUAGUGGCUUACCAAGGCUUUGACGGGUAGCCGGCCUGAGAGGGUGACCGGCCACAUUGGGACUGAGAUACGGCCCAGACUCCUACGGGAGGCAGCAGUGGGGAAUAUUGCACAAUGGGCGGAAGCCUGAUGCAGCAACGCCGCGUGCGGGAUGACGGCCUUCGGGUUGUAAACCGCUUUCGCCUGUGACGAAGCGUGAGUGACGGUAAUGGGUAAAGAAGCACCGGCUAACUACGUG
rnacentral:rRNA from 1 species